UACGAAGGGGGCGAGCGUUGUUCGGAAUUACUGGGCGUAAAGAGUGUGUAGGCGGUGCUCUAAGUUUGGUGUGAAAUCUCCCGGCUCAACUGGGAGGGUGCGCCGAAAACUGGAAUGCUUGAACGUGGGAGAGGAAAGCGGAAUUCCUGGUGUAGCGGUGAAAUGCGUAGAUAUUGGGAGGAGCACCGGUGGCGAAGGCGGCUUUCUGGUCCGAAACUGACACUGAGAUGCGAAAGCCAGGGGAGCAAACGGG
rnacentral:rRNA from 1 species